GAGUGGACAGGAUUGGCCGAAAAGGGUCAUCCAACGGCCCACAGCAUCCGGAUUUCGUUUGAUUUGGAAGGCUGACAAUGAUAGGUUGUGUUGUGGGGAUCUAUACCUUCUCCCACAGCCGUGUGGUAGAGCUGCAAAGAGAGGUUCUUCUUUCACAUUCACAUUAUACUCUUCUUUGGUUCUUCACAUCUUCUCAAACAGCUACACCAGCUUGAAGGGUUGCUAGGACAUAGAGAAGUGAUGAAUCAAAUCUUGGGUUUUCCCUUCGUGCCCUCUGUUCUGUGCCUAAAGUAUUGCUGAAUCAUGAAUAGGAUGAAUGAGUAAGAAGUGAUAAAUUCAAAAAUUCUAUUCGAUUUUGGAUCCUGCCGCGUAGUAAUCUCCUAUUAAUCUGUGGCUUCUGAUAACUGCAAAAUAAGCUCCUUCGUUGUGAGACAGAACCAUGACAAGAAAUUAUUAGAGGUCGUCAAUAAAUAGACAAUCCAGCUACAUUAAUGAAUGUCCAGCCAGACAGACACACUAGGCAGGGUGCUGGCUGUUUAGUCGAGAGCAGCGUACGGGUUCAGGCUGCAUUAGCAAAAGCUUACCAUGUUCAUGUAUCUAUUCUUUGCUAUUGCAGGAUGAAACACAUUCUUUUAUGUGCUGCUCGGGAUCAAUACUUUUCUGUUUCUGGUGAUCGUGCUAGACAAUUUGAUAGUUUGGUGAUCAUGCUAGACUAUUUGAUAGUGAGAGCACUCAGAUCAGGGAAAGUAUGACGCAAAGCACAGGUGUCUCCAUCUCCAUCUUUAGAAUGUCCGUGUAUCUGCACAAGCAACAUAUGCUAGAAUAUAGCGGCCCACUUAAUCCGGAUUGAGUUUUCACUUUAACGGCCAGAAAGGUUUGGUUAUGUCAACAAAUAAGGGGUGAGGUGGUCGUUUUCGAUUGUUUGAUCUGAAUACGAAGCCAAUUUUCUUUUUCCACCUUCUUUUCGGUGCAUAGAGUCUAAUCUGAACGAUAGGUGUUUUAGUUCGUAUUUGAAAUUCUAAUUCGCACAUUGCGUUUCGAUGUUAUGAUGAACAACGCAGAUAAAGUCACCGGUACUGGGUCGAGGAUAAAGAUAUUUCAUGGCUACUACAAAGAUAUAAAAGAUAGUUGCAACAUCUUCCAGCAAUUUUUUUGAGCUGAAGAGAAAUUACAAGCGAAGAGAAGAUAACGAAUUGUAAAAAGACGAGAAAAACUAUCGACACCGAGCGAACAGAACUUGAAUAUGAUCAAAAUCCUGAUUAUGAACUGAAUUACGUCAUUCUUUUAAGUUACUCAUACUGGUGUUGUUGAUCUGAGGCCAGAAAAUGCAAUGCAGAUAUCGACUGAGAACACCAAGUAUUUUGCAGGUAAUGUUGUUGCUUGCUUUUACGCCGAUUAGUCCUUGCAAGACUACCGCAGUGAGCAUGUAAGAAUUACUCGAGGAACUACAUGCAUCCACAUGAGUUUGAAGCUCAUAGCUGCUAAUUAAGGUCAGUUGGGGUUGAUUUUCAACACGUUCCCCUUAGUGAAUACAAGUAGAUCGUGCAAUUAACAUUCCCCUUCAUGAGGUCCUAUUUCUCUCCCUUUCCAUCUAUAAUUAUUUCACUGUCACAGUCAGUCAUUAUGUGUUUUAGUAUUCUUCUUGAUGCCUCCAUCUCUUCUCUGACUACAAUUUUGGUUGAUUAUCUAGAAUUCGUCCAUGGUUCAUCGUUCUGCCUCACGUGGAAGAAAUAAUAAAACUCUGGCAGUCUGUAUUUUUUUUUUUCAGUUGGAUUACACAUUCAGACAAUGUUCAUUGAUAUAGUAUGAUCAGUUGAAGCUUUGCUUAAAAAGAGAAAGUUGCUCAGACAUCUUGCAGUUGGGUUUGUUGCUUUUAAAACUAUCUAUCAGCACCAUUAAUUGCUUGGAAGGGAUACAACUUUCUACAGCUAUCUCUUCCUGACUGCUAUUUUAGUUGAUUAUCUAGAAUUCGUUCAUGGUUAAUGGUUGUGCCUCACGUGGAAGAAAUAAUAAAAUUCAGGUUUUUUUUUUGUGUUAUCUGACUUUGGUAUUGGUUAUUUAACUUAAUUACUUUGGCUAUGCUUUGGAGUUUCAAUUUGAGUAAAAUAGUGUGUUCUAGGUUUUAAUAUGUAUUUAGAUAAUAGUGGCCUUAAUAGGUGCUUAAGUAUGUAGGGGAACAAAUGUAUGUAUCUUUUUCUCUUAUUGUUCGUC